UUUGUUCAUUGUUGCAUCAAAUUGUCACAGACCACAGUUAAUAUCUCGCCGUCUGGCGAUUUAUACAUUAUAACUUUGUUAUAAGUUUAUUUAUAAAUACAUUUAUGCAUACAAUAUAUAGAAGUUUAUAAGUAUAAAUGAGUAAAACCAUUGAUUAUAAAAUAUAUAUACUAUUUUUAAUCAAUGGCUAGACGUAUGUGUUAUCGAACUCGUACAACUGGCUUGUUGGAAAUACCCAAAAUAAAUAAUAUUCAUUGACAAACUCCAAUGAGGAACGCACGACUUAAAUAUUUAAGGUAUCGGUCAGCGGGGAAACAUUGUCAGUUGUCAGUUGUCACUGUCCCUGCGCAGUUUCAUCACUUGUCACUCGUCAGUUAUAUCUUAUAUGCCAAAUUCAAAUUUCUGAUACCUACUCGGCGAUAUCUGUGCAUUGUCGUUGGUCGUUCUAUAUAAUUAAUAAUUGUGUACUAUUGCCCUAUAAAAAUAAAUUAACCAAUCUUUAUUCAAAGUUAUUUUUUCGACUACCUAAUUAUGUAGUGAUGAUGACAGUAUUACUCUACUGCAGUAUCGUAAACAAUAUUUCAAUGUUAUGUUUUUUAAUUUGCUUCACACUAUAAGCUGAAUAUUUUACAGUGUUUAAGUAAAAACAGUGUUAUAAAUUAUAAUCAUAAUCAAUUUCAUCAAAUAGGUGAUUUGAACUUUGAAGACCUGUCAAACAAAAAUUCAAUACGCAGUAGCGUUUUCCAACUAGUCGUCUUAAUUAAUCUAUUGCUCGAUAUAUUAAGAAACAAUAGUUUUUGGACAUACAUUGAAAAAAAUGGCCGUAAUAAUAGUGGAUUGAGCAUCAGUACACAACUUGAACUGAUAUAUUAUUGGUGUCAAGAUAUAAAACAGACUACAAUUAUUGCUUUAACCGGUAGAUCACAUCAUACAGUGUGUGACUGUAACGCUUUUCUGAGGGACAUGGCACAAUAGAGCGCAUACUGCAAUCGUAAUGCUGCCAGUAGAGCGCAUACGAGAAAAUAGCCUUACUUUGCUACUGAUUUGGAAACAUUAAAACUGGAUUUACAAAUGACAGCUUAAUGAAACACAUAAAGAAUUAAAUUAUGUAAGAAAUUAUCAGAAUUAAUCUAAAAUAUUAAAUGUUAACAACUUAAGAACAAUUUCUAUUUUAAUUGAAAGAGAUUUGAGAACACAUAAUGAAGAAAAAAAAACUAUUGUCUUAUCCACAGGUACUGUCAUAAUUGUUGAAUGAUUUUCUUUAAAACUCCAUAGCAAAAUCUAAUAAUUGGUUGACUUGUUUAAAGCUAAAAAUUUCUAAUACAAAA